UUUCGCAAUGCCCGAAAGGGUGACGAAGCGACGCCGCGUGUGGGAAGAAGGCCCUAGGGUUGUAAACCACUGUCAGGAGUUAAGAAAUGCGGGAGUGUUAAUAGCAUUCCCGUUUGACGAAAGCUCCAGAGGAAGCCACGGCUAACUCUGUGCCAGCAGCCGCGGUAAUACAGAGGUGGCAAGCGUUGUUCGGAAUUAUUGGGCGUAAAGAGCACGUAGGCGGCCCUGCAAGUCAGUUGUGAAAGCCUUCCGCUUAACGGGAGAACGGCAUCUGAUACUACGGGGCUAGAGUACGGGAGGGGAGAGUGGAACUUCUGGUGGAGCGGUGAAAUGCGUAGAUAUCAGAAGGAACGCCGGCGGCGAAAGCGACUCUCUGGCCCGAAACUGACGCUGAGUGUGCGAAAGCUAGGGGAGCAAACGGGAUUAGAUACCCCGGUAGUCCUAGCCGUAAACGAUGGGCACUAAGUAGAGGGGUUUUA
rnacentral:rRNA from 1 species